rnacentral:rRNA from 1 species
GAUGAACGCUGGCGGCGUGCCUAAUACAUGCAAGUCGAGCGAACGGACGAGAAGCUUGCUUCUCUGAUGUUAGCGGCGGACGGGUGAGUAACACGUGGAUAACCUACCUAUAAGACUGGGAUAACUUCGGGAAACCGGAGCUAAUACCGGAUAAUAUUUUGAACCGCAUGGUUCAAAAGUGAAAGACGGUCUUGCUGUCACUUAUAGAUGGAUCCGCGCUGCAUUAGCUAGUUGGUAAGGUAACGGCUUACCAAGGCAACGAUGCAUAGCCGACCUGAGAGGGUGAUCGGCCACACUGGAACUGAGACACGGUCCAGACUCCUUCGGGAGGCAGCAGUAGGGAAUCUUCCGCAAUGGGCGAAAGCCUGACGGAGCAACGCCGCGUGAGUGAUGAAGGUCUUCGGAUCGUAAAACUCUGUUAUUAGGGAAGAACAUAUGUGUAAGUAACUGUGCACAUCUUGACGGUACCUAAUCAGAAAGCCACGGCUAACUACGU